rnacentral:rRNA from 1 species
UACAGAGGUCCCAAGCGUUGUUCGGAUUCAUUGGGCGUAAAGGGUGUGUAGGUGGCGUCGUAAGUCAGGUGUGAAAUCUCGGGGCUCAACCCCGAAACUGCACUUGAUACUGCGAUGCUCGAGUACUGGAGAGGAGAUUGGAAUUUACGGUGUAGCAGUGAAAUGCGUAGAUAUCGUAAGGAAGACCAGUGGCGAAGGCGAAUCUCUGGACAGUUACUGACACUGAGGCACGAAGGCCAGGGGAGCAAACGGG